rnacentral:rRNA from 1 species
UGGUCAAGCUACAAAGGGCUCACGGCGGAUACCUUGGCACACAGAGGCGAUGAAGGACGUGGUUACCUGCGAUAAGUCUCGGGGAGCUGGAAACACGCUUUGAUCCGGGAAUUUCCGAAUGGGGCAACCCCUUGUACGGCCAGCUGAAUCCAUAGGCUGGCGCGAGCCAACCCAGCGAACUGAAACAUCUUAGUAGCUGGAGGAAAGAAA